rnacentral:rRNA from 1 species
GACGAACGCUGGCGGCGUGCCUAAUACAUGCAAGUAGAACGCUGAAGGAGGAGCUUGCUUCUCUGGAUGAGUUGCGAACGGGUGAGUAACGCGUAGGUAACCUGCCUGGUAGCGGGGGAUAACUAUUGGAAACGAUAGCUAAUACCGCAUAAGAGUAGAUGUUGCAUGACAUUUACUUAAAAGGUGCAAUUGCAUCACUA